AGCAGGCCGCGGUAACACCGGCGGCCCGAGUGGUGAUCGUGAUUAUUGGGUCUAAAGGGUCCGUAGCCGGUUUGGUCAGUCCUCCGGGAAAUCUGAUAGCUCAACUAUUAGGCUUUCGGGGGAUACUGCCAGACUUGGAACCGGGAGAGGUAAGAGGUACUACAGGGGUAGGAGUGAAAUCUUGUAAUCCCUGUGGGACCACCUGUGGCGAAGGCGUCUUACCAGAACGGGUUCGACGGUGAGGGACGAAAGCUGGGGGCACGAACCGGAUUAGAUACCCGGGUAGUCCCAGCCGUAAACGAUGCUCGCUAGGUGUCAGGCAUGGCGCGACCGUGUCUGGUGCCGCAGGGAAGCCGUGAAGCGAGCCACCUGGGAAGUACGGCCGCAAGGCUGAAACUUAAAGGAAUUGGCGGGGGAGCACAACAACGGGUGGAAGCCUGCGGUUUAAUUGGACUCAACGCCGGACAACUCACCGGGGGCGACAGCAAUAUGUAGGCCAAGCUGAAGACUUUGCCUGAAUCGCUGAGGAGUGGUGCAUGG
rnacentral:rRNA from 1 species